GCCUGGGUAGCUCAGUCGGUAGAGCAGCGCAUUCGUACUGCGCAGGUCAAGGGUUCGAAUCCCUUCCCAGGCUCCA
rnacentral:tRNA from 1 species